rnacentral:rRNA from 1 species
AGCAGCCGCGGUAAUUCCAGCUCCAAUAGCGUAUAUUAAAGUUGUUGCAGUUAAAAAGCUCGUAGUUGAAUUUCGGGGUUAGUAGAUUGGUCAUGCCUCUGGUAUGCACUGGUCUUACUGAUUCCUCUUCCUGAUGAACCGUAAUGCCAUUAAUUUGGUGUUGCGGGGAAACUGGACUGUUACUUUGAAAAAAUUGAGUGUUUAAAGCAGGCUAACGCUUGAAUACAUUAGCAUGGAAUAAUGAAAUAGGACGUUCGAUCUUAUUUUGUGGUUUCUAGGAUUGACGUAAUGAUUAAUAGGGAUAGUUGGGGCAUUAGUAUUCAAUUGUCAGAGGUGAAAUUCUUGGAUUUAUUGAAGACUAACUACUGCGAAAGCAUUUGCCAAGGAUGUUUUCAUUAAUCAAGAACGAAAGUUAGGGAUCGAAGACGAUCAGAUACCGUCGUAGUCUUAACCAUAAACUAGUGCCGAUAGGGAUCGGAUGAUGUUAAUUUUUAA